CCUACGGGAGGCAGCAGUGGGGAAUCUUGCGCAAUGGGCGAAAGCCUGACGCAGCCAUGCCGCGUGAAUGAUGAAGGUCUUAGGAUUGUAAAAUUCUUUCACCGAGGACGAUAAUGACGGUACUCGGAGAAGAAGCCCCGGCUAACUUCGUGCCAGCAGCCGCGGUAAUACGAAGGGGGCUAGCGUUGCUCGGAAUUACUGGGCGUAAAGGGAGCGUAGGCGGAUAGUUUAGUCAGAGGUGAAAGCCCAGGGCUCAACCUUGGAAUUGCCUUUGAUACUGGCUAUCUUGAGUACGGAAGAGGUAUGUGGAACUCCGAGUGUAGAGGUGAAAUUCGUAGAUAUUCGGAAGAACACCAGUGGCGAAGGCGACAUACUGGUCCGUUACUGACGCUGAGGCUCGAAAGCGUGGGGAGCAAACAGGAUUAGAUACCCUGGUAGUCCACGCUGUAAACGAUGAGUGCUAGUUGUCGGCAUGCAUGCAUGUCGGUGACGCNGCUACGCAUAAGACACUCCGCCGUCGGGAGGUACGGUCGCGAAGAAUUAAAACUAACGAAAGGAAGUUAGACGGCGUGAGACGUCGACCGAACGGACGACCGACGAGGGAGGAGG
rnacentral:rRNA from 1 species